UACAUAGGGGGCAAGCGUUAUCCGGAAUUAUUGGGCGUAAAGGGUGCGUAGGCGGUAAUUUAAGUCUUUGGUGUAAGUGCAGUGCUUAACGCUGUGAUGCUAAGGAAACUGGGUUACUAGAGUGAGAUAGAGGCAAGUGGAAUUCCAUGUGUAGCGGUAAAAUGCGUAAAUAUAUGGAGGAACACCAGUGGCGAAGGCGGCUUGCUGGGUCUAUACUGACGCUGAGGCACGAAAGCGUGGGGAGCAAACAGG
rnacentral:rRNA from 1 species